CUCACAUGUGGCCCCCCUUGCUCAUGUUUGAUGUCUGCUUUGAACUUUCCAGUGACUUUCCUGAUUGGAGAGACAUCGGCACUCCUGGGUCGACAUCAAGGGGAAAUGCACAAGAAAUUCGGGAACACCGUCACCCACCUCAGUGAGGUAACCUUUUCCUUCUCAGAGCACGACCUAAUGGAAUAUUCAUUUGUCCAAAAUUCCAAUCGGUUUGAAACUGUUACAUUAAAUAUAAUUCAUGGUAUUACUAUGAACAGUGUGUCCAAUGUGGGUUGAGGUAGUGCUCAGAUGGAAUCUGCCAAGCCCAGGUAACACACCCCAGGGCAAAAGCCUGAUGACACAGAAGGCCUAUACACAGUUUUUCAAGAAUAGCAACAUCCUUGUGCCAUGAUGUUUGGGAUGACUGCUUAAUUACCUGGGUUUUGGCUUCCAAGUUGAUGAACCUGCUACACCUGUCACUAAGGCUUCCCGGGGAAUCUGCUCGAGCUGCUGCUCUGUCAUGACCCACUAGGACUCUCUGCCGAGUUCAAUGCCUGGAUCCCAGGCUUGGCUCUGCUACUGGCCUCCUCCAUCUACACCAGGCUCGGCUCUGCUACCAGCCUCCACCUACCACUCCAGGCUCGGCUCUCCUACCAGCCUCCACAAACCGCAUCAGGCUUGGCUCUGCUACCAGCCUCUACCAAACUGCAUUUGACUUGGCUCUGCUACCAGCCUCCUCCACCAAUCGGGCUUGGCUCUGUUACUAAACCUGCUUCAAUAAAAGCAUAUCUUAUUCAAUCGCUGGUGUGUUACUGAAUACGUGAAAUAAUUGUAUUUUUAUUGUAUGAUUUUGUAUUUUCCUUUAUCUUCUAGUAUUAUAUUUCUUAUAAAUAUCAAUGACAUUGUUGCUUGCGGUGACUGACAUAUCAUUGCACUGUGGGCCCGGUGUAGCUUAUAUAACAAUAAAGAACUUGCAUAUCAUAAAGAAUGCCUUUUUAUUAGGUUGUACUGCCAAAAAUAAAACCCUGGUUAUUUGAUUCACUGAAUGUUGAUGCAAUCAGGACAUGCGAUAUGCACUUGUCUCGCACUCGCUCUAAAUACCAAAUCCACGAUUCCGGGAGAUUGU